rnacentral:hammerhead_ribozyme from 1 species
AUCUAGUUGGCAAGUCCCAAAUAGGACGAAACGCGCUUCUUAUAU